rnacentral:sRNA from 1 species
UUGCCGUUAUUCAUGAAAUGAACAUUGCAAAGGGUUGUUUCCUCACUGCGGCCAUCAGUCUUCGUUCGGGCGGUAACAGUUAAAGACGCUUAACAUUCCUACGGUCGGCAUUCACAACGUUCCUCGGAUGGAUGGUUUAGCUCUGUGUUAUUGUGUGUUAUUCUUCUAUAUGGGAAUCAAAUCAAAAUAGCAAUGGGCAAGAAAUAACAACGACAACAAAGCCAAAAGAAAUUGCAAAGGAAACAACAAAAGUGCCAUCAUUGCCACGCCACUUGGCUUAAAGUGUUCCUAACGACAAUUGUGUAAUUUUAAACUUUUCCUAAGGGUUGUUCGUUUGUUCUUUCAUUGGUCACUUUCAAUGGCUGAUGAUCAUUUUUGGUAAACGGAAUAAAAAGCGUAGCAAAUAACAAACAAUACCGUCAGGAGUUUAAAGUAAAUGAAUAAUAAUUCGCAACUCCCUUUAAAGGCAAUGGAAGAAACGUAAUUUGUGAUAUUGUGCAAAAAAUUUAAGCUUCGUUUGCAACGCUGAAUUGUGAAGUGUUUACAACAUAAGUGGCCAUCAUCUACAAAUUAAAUUAUUCUUUACGGUGCUUCAUGGCAAUGACAAGCGGUUAAAAGAACGCUAAGCCAGUAGGGCAAAAGGAUAACUCCUCAAGGUCUUGUGGAAUUAAAAGAGACCCCGAAAGAGUGCCCACAACAGUGACUUAACAACACGGCGAAUAAUAGUAGAAAGGACCAAAGAAAAAAGUGAAAUGCUUCGUAACGAAUUUUCUCCAAUUUCAUUUGUGACCAGUGGCAAUGUCAAUGCCAUUAGGCAUAAAUCUUAACAGAAAUCAUUGGAGGCUACAUUCGAAAUCACCUUAAUUCAUGCUAUUUUAAGGCCAUUUCAUGCCAACCGAUGUCGAGGCUUCUUGUUCAAUUCGCAGACAGCCAGUGAGUCCUUGAUAACUUUAUGGAAAUGUGGUGUUGCUUUGUGGCCCCAAAACUUUGUUCGAACAACUAACUUGGCUGUUGUUGUUGUUGGUGUUGUUACAGCAGCUAGGUCUUAUCAGUUUGGUGGCUGUAUAACACUCGACUAACUUUAUCAAAUGCCACAGAUAAGAACUCUCGUGGAUGAUAGUACCUUUUAAUAACCGCAGUAGCAACAUGGCUCCAUUGCUGUAGGGCAAACCAGACACAGCGGCCCCAUCACAAUUCCCGGCCAUUAUGGACAGCCACAACGAGUAAACCGCACCUCCGCCACCAACAACAGCAAGCAACGACGCUACCUAUCACUUUUAGCCCAAGGACAAAAUUCUAAAAUGGCAUUAAGUGGCCAGUCAUUGGGCUGAGGAUUGGCAGGCAUUCAUGUGUACGAGUAUCUGAAGGACUUCAGACAAAAAGCGCCAAAACAGUUACCAGCUGAAAACCACACAAAGACAAAAGGAUGAACAAAGGAUAAGGGAAAGUGUAGCACCAGCAACAUACGCACACUUAUUCCACACACACACACACACAUACACACAGACAGACGCAUAUGUGAAUUUAAAACAACAAUUGCGCUUUGCGACAUUUAAGAGGCUUUGUUUUGUAGCCUUAAAAGAAUACGAAAAAAAAACACAACAAAAGACAUUGCCUUUAGAUAUUGCCGUGCAUUUGAGUGGUGACAAAAUUUGUGAGCUUAUAAAUUGUAUUUUAUUGCGGUUCUUUAAAAAUGCAAAAAUUCUAUAAAGAAAAUACUUUCAAGUGAAAUAACGGAAUUGUAAAUAGUUUCUCUUUCUUGGCACAUGAUUAGAUUAGAAAACUAAGAGGAAAACAUUGAUCCGUAAACCCUGUAUUGGGAUAUUAGCGUGCCAAUCAAAACCCCAUUAUUAUUCGCCAACUGCCAAUGUAUCAGCACCAUUGGCACUCGGAAGCAAGGUAUCAUCGUUGCUGCCAACAUAUGCGGUUCCACUUAUCCCCAUAUCUUGUCAUGGCUUUCCUCAAUUUUUUCGGGCGAGUGUUUUCAUAUCAAACGGUUAUUGAGUUUAUGUGAACACCUCCUUUGCAAAAGCCAUACUACAUACUAGUGAGAAAGUCUAUCAGCAACAUCGUCGCCAUCAGUGGGAGCCACCAUCUUUUGCAACGAGCAACGGAAGAAUCAAGUCUCAUCUCAUUUCAACAUCAGCAAUAACACCAUCUGCGGAUACUUCGACACAGUUUCUUUUUCUUCUUUGGAUCGGAAAAUAUAAAUCACAAUGGCCAGGUAA